rnacentral:rRNA from 1 species
AUUGAACGCUGGCGGCAUGCCUAACACAUGCAAGUCGAGCGGAGCGGCGGACGUGUGUGUAACGCCUAGGAAUUUGCCCGGUCGUGGGGGACAACGUCCGGAAACGGGCCCUAAUACCGCAUACUAUCAGAUGAGCCUAGGUUGGAGUGGCUAGUUGGUGGGGUAAAGGCCUACCAAGGAGACGAUCCGUAACUGGACUGAGAGGAGGAUCAGUCACAAUGGAACUGAGACACGGUCCAGACUCCUACGGGAGGCAGCAGUGGGGAAUAGUGGGCAAUGGGCGAAAGUCUGAUCCAGCCAUGCCGAGUGUGUGAAGAAGGUCUUCGGAUUGUAAAGAACUUUGAGUUGGGAGGCGGUACCAACAGAAUAAGCACCGGCUAACUACGUGCCAGCAGCCGCGGUAAUAC